rnacentral:sRNA from 1 species
CUAGUGAUGAAAGCGAAGUUAUGAAAUG